AACGAACGCUGGCGGCAUGCCUAACACAUGCAAGUCGAACGAAGCCUUCGGGCUUAGUGGCGCACGGGUGCGUAACGCGUGGGAAUCUGCCCUUAGGUACGGAAUAACUCAGGGAAACUUGUGCUAAUACCGUAUGAUGUCGAGAGACCAAAGAUUUAUCGCCUAGGGAUGAGCCCGCGUAGGAUUAGCUAGUUGGUGGGGUAAAGGCCUACCAAGGCGACGAUCCUUAGCUGGUCUGAGAGGAUGAUCAGCCACACUGGGACUGAGACACGGCCCAGACUCCUCCGGGAGGCAGCAGUGGGGAAUAUUGGACAAUGGGCGAAAGCCUGAUCCAGCAAUGCCGCGUGAGUGAAGAAGGCCUCGGUUGUAAGCUCUUUACCCGGGUAAGAUAAUGACUGUACCGGGAGAAUAAGCCCCGGCUAACCCCGUGCCAGCAGCCGCGGUAAU
rnacentral:rRNA from 1 species